rnacentral:rRNA from 1 species
AUUGAACGCUGGCGGCAUGCCUUACACAUGCGAGUCGAACGGCAGCACGGGUGCUUGCACCUGGUGGCGAGUGGCGCACGGGUGAGUAAUACAUCGGAACAUGUCCUGUAGUGGGGGAUAGCCCGGCGAAAGCCGGAUUAAUACCGCAUACGAUCUACGGAUGAAAGCGGGGGACCUUCGGGCCUCGCGCUAUAGGGUUGGCCGAUGGCUGAUUAGCUAGUUGGUGGGGUAAAGGCCUACCAAGGCGACGAUCAGUAGCUGGUCUGAGAGGACGACCAGCCACACUGGGACUGAGACACGGCCCAGACUCCUACGGGAGGCAGCAGUGGGGAAUUUUGGACAAUGGGCGAAAGCCUGAUCCAGCAAUGCCGCGUGUGUGAAGAAGGCCUUCGGGUUGUAAAGCACUUUUGUCCGGAAAGAAAUCCUUGGCUCUAAUACAGUCGGGGGAUGACGGUACCGGAAGAAUAAGCACCGGCUAACUACGUG